rnacentral:rRNA from 1 species
AGUUUGAUCAUGGCUCAGGAUGAACGCUGGCGGCGUGCUUAAUACAUGCAAGUCGAACGAAGAGUGUAGCAAUAUACUCUUAGUGGCGAACGGGUGAGUAACGCGUUGGUGACCUGCCCCGAAGUGAGGGAUAACAGUUCGAAAGGACUGCUAAUACCCCAUGUGGUCUUUGGGAUUAGAUGCCCUUAGACUAAAGGUGCAAACCGCUUCGGGAGGGACCUGCGUCCCAUCAGCUAGUUGGUAGGGUAACGGCCUACCAAGGCAACGACGGGUAGGGGGCCUGAGAGGGUGACCCCCCACACUGGCACUGAAACACGGGCCAGACACCUACGGGUGGCAGCAGUAGGGAAUAUUGCACAAUGGGCGAAAGCCUGAUGCAGCAACGCCGCGUGCACGAUGAAGGCCUUCGGGUCGUAAAGUGCUUUUCGGGGAGAUGAGGAAGGACAGUAUCCCCGGAAUAAGUCUCGGCUAACUACGUGCCAGCAGCCGCGGUAACACGUAGGAGGCAAGCGUUAUCCGAAUUUACUGGGCGUAAAGCGCGUGCAGGCGGUUCGGUAAGUUGGAUGUGAAAUCUCCCGGCUCAACUGGGAGAGGUCGUUCAAUACUGUCGGACUAGAGGAUGGUAGAGGGAGGUGGAAUUCCCGGUGUAGUGGUGAAAUGCGUAGAUAUCGGGAGGAACACCAGUGGCGAAAGCGGCCUCCUGGACCAUUCCUGACGCUCAGACGCGAAAGCUAGGGGAGCGAACGGGAUUAGACACCCCGGUAGUCUUAGCUGUAAACGAUGUAGACUUGGCGUCGGUGGGGUAAAAGCCAUCGGUGCCGGAGCUAACGCGGUAAGUCUACCGCCUGGGGACUACGGCCGCAAGGUUAAAACUCAAAGGAAUUGACGGGUCCCCGCACAAGCAGCGGAANCGUGUGGUUUAAUUCGAUGAUACNCGNAAAAACCUUACCCNGGAUUUGACAUANNAAUUGGUAAGG